rnacentral:misc_RNA from 1 species
CGCCACCGCAUAUGUAGAAAAAGAGGGGGAAGAACAAUCGUUUAACUUUGGAACAGAACAUGAGGUGGCGGGCGGAGCGCUCUAUAUGACCGGCAGCGGCUUACCAGAGAAGAGGGGANACCAGAGAAGAGGGGACAACUUCUUUCUCCCUUGCCUUGCUCAAUUUUCCUUUUCUGAUUGAAAGUAGCAAGCCACUCCACUACUGGUAUAUAGGCCAGAUAGAAGGUUGCUCAUCCAGCCCGGCGGAUCCAUUGUUUAUGCGGCAGUACGAUGCAGCUGAAAAAGCCCUUUUUUAUAUUAGUAAUAUUAGU